GAGAGAGAGAGAGAGAGAGAGAGUUUUGAAGGAAGAAAUUAGUGUUGAGUUGGUUUCAUUUAUACUGCAACUAGAGGAAGCAUCCAAAGGGAUCGCAUUGAUCCCAACUAGCUAUGUCUUCCAUGGUUUAAUUUGGAUCAUGCUAUCCCUUUGGAUAUCUCCUUUGGCAGCUUCAAACUUUUAGAUAUAUAUAUAUAUAUAUAUAUCAUGCGCAUCAACAACUAUAGAUAAUCAAGGAGUUCAUCGGAUUUCUUGCCUUUGAGAACAGACUAGCUAACAUGGCCACACAUUGCUAUGGCCCAAAGUCAAGGCUCCAUAAAUCACAUGCUUUUGAAGACUUUAAUUAGAAUCCAAGGCAGUGGAAGAUGAGAUAUAUAUAAACUCAGAGAGACUUCCUUUUUUUCUCCCACCCUGGGCCUCACAUUGAGUGUACCGAAGGCAAAGGCAAAGGCAAAGGCAUCAUACACAUGUGAUGAGACCUUAAUUAAGAAAAAGUCCUUUUAAUUAGCCACCAUUGCUCUAAUUUGAAAUAAAGGGUCAUUUUGUUAUACCUCAUACAUAUGCCACAUGACCCCAACAUUCUAACACUCUCCCACCAUCCUUUUGUCACAUGGCCACAACCUUCCACCAUCUCACUUUCCUUAAUUAAUUAUUAUUAAUUGAGUAGAU